rnacentral:rRNA from 1 species
GAUGAACGCUGGCGGCGUGCCUAAUACAUGCAAGUCGAGCGAACAGACGAGGAGCUUGCUCCUCUGACGUUAGCGGCGGACGGGUGAGUAACACGUGGAUAACCUACCUAUAAGACUGGGAUAACUUCGGGAAACCGGAGCUAAUACCGGAUAAUAUAUUGAACCGCAUGGUUCAAUAGUGAAAGACGGUUUUGCUGUCACUUAUAGAUGGAUCCGCGCCGCAUUAGCUAGUUGGUAAGGUAACGGCUUACCAAGGCAACGAUGCGUAGCCGACCUGAGAGGGUGAUCGGCCACACUGGAACUGAGACACGGUCCAGACUCCUACGGGAGGCAGCAGUAGGGAAUCUUCCGCAAUGGGCGAAAGCCUGACGGAGCAACGCCGCGUGAGUGAUGAAGGUCUUCGGAUCGUAAAACUCUGUUAUUAGGGAAGAACAAAUGUGUAAGUAACUAUGCACGUCUUGUCGGUACCUAAUCAGAAAGCCACGGCUAACUACGUG